UACGUAGGGGGCAAGCGUUGUCCGGAAUUAUUGGGCGUAAAGAGCGUGUAGGCGGUCCGGUAAGUCGGCUGUGAAAGUCCAGGGCUCAACCCUGGGAUGCCGGUCGAUACUGCCGGACUAGAGUUCGGAAGAGGCGAGUGGAAUUCCCGGUGUAGCGGUGAAAUGCGCAGAUAUCGGGAAGAACACCUAUGGCGAAAGCAGCUCUCUGGGACGGUACUGACGCUGAGACGCGAAAGCGUGGGGAGCGAACAGG
rnacentral:rRNA from 1 species